UGUGCACAUUAGUCGACUCGUCGUUGCCAGCAGGCUGCACCCGACAGCCAAGGGAUUUACAUGUGGCAUAGCAAGUCUCUGAAGCAGUGUCUCACACUCGAGUCCUGACCGAGGGCCUUGAAACUGGCAUGCCUGUUCAAAACAUCUCCAGGACAACAAGGUUAUUUUGUGUUGACGUGUAUUGAAUUCUUAAGGGCAAAGAAGAUGAAGGAGAAUGCGUGCAGUGGGCUGAAUAGAGAAUUUGUGAAUCAAAGGCAACACCAUCGAAUGCAUUAUGAAAUUAAGCACUAUCAGGUUGUCAAGGCUGUAGCUCAGCGGGCACAUGGUCCUGGAUACCUGAUAUAUAUAUAUUUUUUUAACUAUUUAUAUAUGGAAUCUGAAUGCACUCCAAGAAAUGCUGCAGUUCUUUGUGCCACAAGAGGCCAAGAAGCUCUACUACAAGAAGUUAAGGCAGAAGAUGAAGAUUAUUACAAAUUAUCCAAGUCAGUUCCGACCAAGUAAUUUGAUUGGACAAGAGGCAUUCCAGUGCUGAUAGAGUAUAACAGCACUGGGUCUUUUAACUAUACACGUAUCGCUCCGCUUUACGGGUGUUCUCAUAACCGUUAAUGUUAUUAACAAUCUUUUUGUAGCUUAGAUUGCAGCUAACUUUGCACAGCAAAUAUGAACAUGUUUCCAGGAAUAACAUUGGAGUUGAAUUAAGAAUGGUCGCCAGAAGAGGACCAAGGGAACCUAAUGUAAUGCUAAUGUGUUUAUGUGUUGCUUGGCAACAGUUUGACCAGUUGCAGAUCUAUUUGUGUUGGCGGAGCCAAAUAAAUCAUUAAUGAACCAAAGAAAUCUGAUCAUAAUAUGUUAAUUAUUAUUGUUAACUAAUGAUUGGUGCUUGUAGAACUGUUGUAUGAAAGCAAUAUCACUCAGGAGGGAGUGCUUUUCUAAUACGGCUGGGAUUCGGUCGAAGGUAUGAGGCCGUUGGCCGAGUGCCGAAGAGAAUCACAGCCGUGCUGAUAUUCAGUACAACAGCACUCCCUCUCGUGUGAUAUUGCUUAAUUAUUCUGUUCCAAAAUUCCAUAAAAAGUCUUGAUUACUAAGAAAUAUUGAUGUAUCAUUACUUUUGUCAGUUUCAAGUUUUUGUUUUAACACAGGUGUACCAACAAUGUGUAUGAUGUAUGACUACCUAAGCUGUACAUGUCUUUAA